CUGGAUCCAAUAGUUUUGUGAUGUUUCCAUCAGGAGUUACAAUGACACGUUUACAUAGUGAGUCUUCUAGUGCCUUUUCGUCACACCUGUGCACGUGUAUAAUCGAAAGUAUAAGUGCCUUGAGUUCUGAGUUGAGGUAAAUCUUAUGUAUAUUCCUCCUAGUUCUUACAUGAAUAGCUCUGCAGCUGUCUUCAGAUGAAAAAGUGACUUGUCAUCUUUCAGUUUGGAGGAAUCAAACUCCUUUCCUUUCACAAAGUUGAUGUUUCCAAGAUGGAGUAUUGCAGCUACAACACGGAAUAUAGCUUCCUACAGAAAUGAUGAGUAAUCUUUUAAAAUAUAUUCUAG
rnacentral:lncRNA from 1 species